UCUCUCUCUCUCUCUCUCUCUCUCUCUCUCUCUCUCUUUCUUAGGUUUUCUUUGUUUUCUAUGUGUCUCUGAAGUCUGAACCCUAGUUUUUCCUUUCUCUUUUAUAUCUCAGCUUCUUCUUAUAUCUCUUUCAACAAAGUUUUGCACACCGAUUCAAUGGACUUUGCGCGCGGUGAUUCUAGAAUUUGCUUGCUUUAUGAAUCUUCUUCUUCUUCUUCUAUUUUAAUGAACAAAAAGGAUCUAGGAAUCUAAUAUUGAGAACCUGAGCCAUAAUCCAUUUACGCAUCCACCCACCAACAAUAACCAUCGCAGUCGGAGAGAGAGUUUUAGGAGAUUCGGCCAGUAAGCCCUAACCUGGACCAAUCCAAUCCUCCAAGGCCCAUUAAUCCAAUUCCCAGCUAACGGCUAGUUUCCAUGUGUCUUACAUGCGCUAACGGUCAUGUUUCAAUCUCCCAACGGCUAGUUGUUGUAUUUGAUGUACCGCUGUGUUCGCACUUGCUAACGGUCAUAUAUUCAUAUUCUUUUAUAUAAGCUAUUGUUGUACCCCUUUUUACUUUGUAGUUUUUUUUUUUUGAAUUCAGUCCAAUUGUCUUCAAAUGAAUUUCUUUUUUUUUUUUGGUUCCCGAAACCAAGUUCGUGUUUAUGCUUCUGCGAGAUCUUCUUCAUUCAGUUUCAAUGGAAGGACCUCGGACAGUCACAAUGUCACCGGAAAACAUCAACUCGGAUCGCAGCUGAUCAGAUGGGGUGCCUCCUAUUAUUGCCAUCUUUCUGUUAGGCUGCUUCAAAGUAGCAGCAAAUAAAUAAUUGGCUUUGCCUAGUGAUCAACUUUUUUGUUAUCUAUAACAAGAUUAUGAAUUCUUCUGAAAAAGUUGUUGAAAAGUGAAAACUUUCCAGGUCUAAACAAUGAAGCAAUUGCAGAGUUUGGAAUACCUAAAAUCAGAAGUCAUAAGUAGCAAUACGUAGGACAUCACAUCCCUCAAUCCUCCUCGAACAAAACUUAUUUGGCUGAAUAUGAAGGAGAUGGGUCCACCUAUUGCCAUCUUUCUGUUUGGCUGCUUUCAAGUACUGGCAAAUACAGAUGAUCCAUCUACUGCAAACCCAUUCAAGAUUAUGAAGAGAGCUCACUCAACUUUUCUGUUUCCUAGAUCCUAGUACGACAAGAUUAUGAAUUUUCCUGAAAAGGGCUAAACAACAAGCUUUUGAUGAGGAAAUUGUUGAGUUUGGGAUUGGAUGCCUCAAGUGAGGAGUCAUACAAAGACAGCAACCCUCUGAUAUCUUGGAAGUAUAUUGUAUCUUUUAAAUUCCCCAUUAAAGAAGGCAUUGUAAGGAAUAAUUGUUAAUAAAAAAAAAUUGAGAC